AGAGAUAGGGUCUUACUAUAUUGCCUAGGCUGGUCUCUAACUCCUGGGCUCAAGUGAUCCUCCUGCUGCAGCAUCCCAAAGUGUUGGGAUUACAGGCGUGAGCCACCGUGCCUGACCCAGGAUAGCGCAUUUUCCUUUCUUCUGCUCUCAAUUGGUUGGACCACUGGUUGCAUCUCUUUACACGCUCCCUGAAAAGCACAGAACUAUCAGACAGAAGACAAGGUAGUUCUCAAGAGGUCCCAGGCAGCUGUGUCUGCUAGAGGCCUCCUCAGCAAAGCCCCAUCUUGUCUACAAUCUCUUAGGAACUGCACGUGGGUUGGGAGCAGCUGACAGAGCAGGGAUCCAUAUAUCUUACACCAAAGCCACCAGUCCUUGCCACCAUAUACAACCUUCCCUUUAGAAUAUAUUUAUCUGGACUUUUACUUAUAGCUGCAAACAUAUCAUUGGCUACUAUACUCAAGCAUCAACUCAAGGAACAUUUGGUUUUCUGGUGACUACAGCUGAAGAACAACCAGCUAGUUACUGAUCCAACUGAGUACCUUCCAGUUGCCAGUUGCAUCCUGGCCCUUCUUUGGAAGUUAUAAUGAUGAAUAUCCAUUAAUAAGAGAUUGAUGCUCUUUUAACUCUCAUGUCAUCUGUACCAUCUUAAUGGAGAGGAUGGUCUUGGAUAAGGUUGGGAUGGAAAGGAAACAUCUGGAAGUCCACUCCAAUAUCUUAUAUGCUGUGUGAAAGUCUGGGGUUAGGAAAUAUUCUGAGGGAGAACUUCCUAAGGAAUGACUUUUGGUUCCUUUAUGCUUUAACAACACACCAAAAGUAUCCCAUGAGACUAUGAGCAGGACACAGCAUUGUUUCUCACCUUGGGCUCUGACUAUUAUCUACUUCUCAGGACAGAUGACUCUGGUUAAGUCACUCAAUAAAGAAAUAUUUUUGUGUACAUAAUCUGAACCUGAAGGCUAUUACUGAAGAGGAUGCAUCUGACAACAAGACUUAAUUUACUUUCAGAGUAAGGACCAGGAGAAAGUAAAUUUUCUUAUGUUUUUAACUGUAUCAUUUUACAAAGAUUCUUUUCCCUUAAAAAAUAAAAAAGCUGAUGUGAUGGGUUCCUUCAGCCAACAAAUAAUUACUGAGCAGUUAUUGUGUGCUAGACACUGCUUGUGGUGUGAGAAUAUGGCACUGAACAAAACAAUGGAUGUACUUUCAUCAAGCUUACAUUCUAAUGAGGAAGAUAAGCAAAACAAGUAAGUGAAUAUAAUUUCAAAUGUGAAUAAAUGCUGUGCAGAAAAUAAAGCAGAGUAUUAUAGAUGGAUAACGACUUGGGCAUAAGGUGGUAUUUUAGGAAGGCUGAUCAGAGGUGAUAUUUAAGCACAAAUACAAAUGUUGAGAAGGAGUGAACUGUGAGCAUACCAGGCAGAGGGAAGAGCUAGUAUAAAGGCCCUCAUGCAGGAACAAGCUCAGCUUAUUUUAAGAACAGUAAGAAUAGUGUCUGAAGCAUAUUGAGUAUGGAGAGCAUGAUAGAUGAUGAUGCCAGAAAGUUAGGCCAGUGCCAAAUUGUGUUAGGAUUAUAUGGGCCAAAGGGAUUCUGGAGUCUUACUGUGAGUGUGCUGGGAAGACACUGGAUAGUUUUAAGCAAGGGAGUGACACAUCUGAAUGGCAUGUUUAAAAAGGUUAUCUCUUCUACUGAGUGGACAGUAAGCUGUAAGGAGCAAGAGUAGAAGAAAGGAAUUCAGUUAGGACACUAUUUUAGGGAACCCAAGUAAGAAAUGGAGACUUAAACUAGGAUGGUAGCAGAGAUGGUAAGAAGUUAUAUUGGGAGUAGAGUUUAUUGGUUGUACUGAUGAAUUGAAUAGAAGAGAUUAAAACAAAAGAGGAUUCACAGGUAACUCCAAGGUUUUUGUCCUGAGUAACUACAUGAUACCAUGAGCUGAAGUAUGUCAGACUGAGCAGGGUAAGGGCAAAGACAUGUUGAGAGAGAAAAAUCAAGAGCUCUACUUUACACAUGUUAAGUUUGUCUAUUGGACAUCUAAGGUGUAGUGUCAUUUAAAUAGUUGGUUAUCUAGAGCUCAGAGGAAAAGUUAUGACUGAAAAUAAGGAGGGCUUAAAACUCUAGGACUCGAUAAGAUUACCUAGAGUAUUAGUGUAGUUAGAAAGGUGACAAGGAUGGGGCCCUAAGUACUAGGCCAACUCUAACAUUUAUAGGUAGAGAACAAAAGGAAGAACCAGCAAAAGAGACUAAGUAGUUGCCAGUGAAUUAGGAAGAAAACCAGGAAGGUGUCUGUAAGAUACCUGUGAUAAAUUAAAAAUGCAUUCUAUUAACUCUAGAGCAACCACUAAAAAUCACUUUUUAAAGAGGCAGGGCUAAUAAGGCAAACUAGAGAUGGAAUAUCAAAAAUAUACUCAAUCAAAAAGCAGGAAAAGAAGAAAGAGUAAACAAAGGACAUAGGGACAAAUGGAAACAAAGAGCAAGAUAGUAGACUUAAACCCAAACAUGUCACCAAUUACAUUAAAUGUAAAUGAUCUAAACACUGUAAUUAAAGGGCAGAGAUUAUCAGAGAUUAUUAGCAGCAAGAGCAAUUACAUGCUGUCUACAAGGGAAACCACUAUAAGACAGACUUAAGUUUAAAAAGUAAAAGGGUAGAAAAGAUGUACUAUGCAAAUAUUAGUCAUGAAAAAAUGGGAGUGAUUAUAUCAUUGGGGAGCAGAGGAAUAUUUCAUAAUGAUAAAGAGGCCAAUCAAUUCAUCAAGAAGAUUAAUUGAAUUCAUCAACAAGGUAAUCCUAAAUGUGUGUGCAUUAAAUAACAGUGCCUCAAACUAUAUAAAUCAAAAACUAUCACUGAAAGAAAAAUAGAAAACCCACAAUUGUAUAUAGAUGUUUCAAUGCUCCUCUCUUAGUAACUGAUAUAACAAGUUAAUGGAAAAAUAUAGAUGACCUGAAUAACACUAUCAGCAACCUUAAUUGACAGUUAUAAAAUGCUUCAUCUGCUGUAGCCGAAUACACAUUCUUCUUAAGUGCACAUGCAACAUUUACCUCAAAUGUGUUGCACAAAAAUAAGUCUCAGUGAUUUUAGAGGAAUUAAAAACAUUAAAAAGUUGUCUGACCACAGUGAAGUUAAAUCAGAAAUCAACAGAUACCUGAGAAUAUCCCCAAUAGUUGGAAAUUAAAUAACAUUUCUAAAUAAUGCAUGGAUUAAUAAAGACACAAAGGAAAUUAGAAAAUAUUUUGAGUAAAAAUGAAAACUGUAUCACAAUGUGUAGGGUAGAGUACAUAAAGAUUUAUAACUUGAAAGUUUAAAUUAGAAGAGAAGUCUACAUUAAGAAACUAGGAAAAGGAGCAAAAUAAGCCCAAAGUAAGCAGAAAAAAUAAAGAUAAGAGCAGAAAUCAAUGGAACAGAAAAUGGAAAACAAUGGAAAAAAUCAAUCAAAAACUGGUUCUUUGAAAAAGAUUAAUAACUGCUCAAGACUGUUAAAGGAAGAAAAAAACUAAGAUACAAAUUACCAGCACCAAAAAUCAGAGGGAACAUUGGAAUAGAUUCUAAACAAAUUAAAAGGAUAAUACAUUGCUAUGAUCUGAUCUGAAUUUUUGUGUGCCUCCCCUGCCAAAUUUAUGUGUUGAAACUUAAUCCCCAGUGCCUUGGUAUUGGCAGGUGGAGUAUCUGGCAGUUAAUUAGUUCAUGAGCAGAGCUCUCAUGAUUGGGAUUAGUGUCAUUAUAAGACACCUGAGAGAGAGUUCAUUUGUGCCUUCUACCAUGAGAGGACACUUAGAAGGUGCCAUCUAUAAGGAUUGGGCCCCCUCACCAGACACCAAAUCUGCUGGCACCUAGAUCUUCGAUUUUCCAGCCUCCAGAACUGUGAGCAAUAAAUUUCUAUUAUUUAUAAAUUGCCAGUCUAAGAUAUUUUGGUAUAGCAGCCCGAACAGACUAAGAAGUAUGAACUUUAUAACAAUAAUUUGUGUAACUUGCAUGAAAUGAGCACAAUCCCUGAAAGACACAAAUUGACAAAACUGCCUGAAGAAGAAAUGGAAAAUCUGAAUACUCUUGUAUCUGUUAAAGAAAGUUGUAAUUUAAAAUGUUUUGCAAAGAAGUAUCUAUGUCAAUAUAGUUUUACUGGUUAGUUCUAUCAAGGAAGAAAUAAUACCAAUCUUAUUCAAACCCUUUUCAGAAAAUAAAAGGGGACGAGGUAUGUUUCAA